rnacentral:ncRNA from 14 species
CUGUGAUGUGCGUCACAUAAAAUAAUGAUAUUUACAGGAGCAACCCAUGAAAUUCAUCAAUAAAAUUAUCGCAAUGUUUGAAAAAAUGAACGUCUCAUUCGGCACUAUCAACGGUUAAUUAUUAUUUCUAAUCAUCCGUCAGUCUUCAUAAUAUUCUGAAUUAAAUUCGACAUGUAGGCAAUGAUACAGUAGCCAUUGUGAGUUAUCUGUGAAAUGAAAGCAUAAUAUGCAAUUACCUAUGUGUGGAAUAUUUUAUUAUUAGGUGCCGUUUAACCUUUUUAUUUAACUUAAUUCCGAAUGUUUACGCUGA